GGUGAUUCAGUGGUAGAAUGCUUGCCUUGCAUGCAUGAGGCCCUGGGUUCGAUUCCUCAGCACCA
rnacentral:tRNA from 1 species